rnacentral:rRNA from 1 species
AUUGAACGCCGGCGGCAGGCCUAACACAUGCAAGUCGAGCGGUAACAUUUCUAGCUUGCUAGAAGAUGACGAGCGGCGGACGGGUGAGUAAUGCUUGGAAAUCUGCCUGGUAGUGGGGGACGAACAGUUGGAACGACUGCUAAUACCGCAUAACCUCUUCGGAGCAAAGUAGGGGGACCCGUCGGCCGUCACGCUACCAGAUGAGUCCAAGU